rnacentral:rRNA from 1 species
UGAGGAACAUGACCUUCGGCGGGGGAUAGCCGGCCCAACGGCCGGGUAAUACCGCGUACGACCACAUGGGGACAUCCCUGAGUGGUGAAAGCAGCAAUGCGCCGAUGGAGUGCCUCGCGGCCUAUCAGCUAGUUGGUGAGGUAACGGCUCACCAAGGCGACGACGGGUAGCUGGUCUGAGAGGAUGGCCAGCCACAUUGGGACUGAGACACCGGCCCAGACCUCGUAACCGGGGAGG